AGAGUUUGAUUAUGGCUCAGGACGAACGCUGGCGGCGUGCCUAAUACAUGCAAGUGGAACGCAUUGAUAUCACCGGAGCUUGCUCCACCGAUAUUAAUGAGUCGCGAACGGGUGAGUAACGCGUAGGUAACCUGCCUGAUAGCGGGGGAUAACUAUUGGAAACGAUAGCUAAUACCGCAUGAGAGUGUUUAACACAUGUUAGAGACUUAAAAGAUACCAUUGUAUCACUAUCAGAUGGACCUGCGUUGUAUUAGCUAGUUGGUAGGGUAGCGGCCUACCAAGGCACUGAUACAUAGCCGACCUGAGAGGGUGAUCGGCCACACUGGGACUGAGACACGGCCCAG
rnacentral:rRNA from 1 species